rnacentral:rRNA from 1 species
UUAAUACCAUUAGAAUCCCAUUAGGUGGAAGACUUGGCUCAAGACGCCGAAGAAGGGCGUGGCAAGCUACGAAAUGCUCAGGGUAGGCGCAUGCAACCGUUGAUCCUGAGAUGCCUGAAUGAGACUUCUCGAAAGACCGGAAACGGUGGGUACCGCAGGGAAUUGAAGCGUCUUAGUACCUGCAGGAAGAGAAAUCAAUAGAGAUGCCGUUAGUUAUCAGCGAGAGAACACGGCAUAGAGCAAACUGAAUCUGUUACAGAAAUGUAAUAGAGAUGUGGUGUUGUGGACUUGUUUUUCACCUUCGUCAGUUGACUUGAAGUUUUCUGGAAAGUGACACGAUACAGGGUGAUAGUCCCGUAAAGGAAAACUGAAAAGGUUUACAAGUAUCCAGAGUAGGACUUGUUGGAUAUCAGGUCUGAAGCUAGGAGGCAUCAACUUCUAACUCUAAAUACGUCUUGAGUCCGAUAGCGAAUAGUACCGUGAGGGAACGUUGAAAAGAACUCUUAACCGAGAGUUAAAAGAGCCUAAAACCUAAUGGGUAUAGAUGAUACGGCACUAAGGUGUUGUAUCGUACGUUUUGAAUAACGGGCCAGGGAGUUUAUCUAAGUGGCGAGGGUAAGGAACUUUCAUUCCGUACUCGAAGGGAAACCAAUAACCCGCAGUUUACGAGGGGUAAGGUGUGAAUAGCGCCUAAAGUCACUUGGGUAUGACCCGAGACUGUGCGAUCUAAUCUUGGGCAAGGUGAAACGGAGUUUGUAGCUUCGUGGAAGCCUGAAGCAGUUCUGUGUGCAUGCGUUUGUGUGACCUGAGAUUAGAGGUGAAAAGCCAAUCGAGCACAGUGAUAGCUGGUUCCUGCCGAAAUAGGCCGAAGUCUAGUCCGGACAGAGAUAGUUGAUAUGGUAGAGCUACGGAUUGGAGAGUCUGGGAGGGAAACUUCUCGCUUUCCUGUCCAACUCCAAAUAUAUUGACGUCGUAGAAGUCCGGAAACGGUGGCACUGGGGUAAGCUUGUGUCACGAGAGGGGAACAACCCAGACUAUGGUUAAGGUCCCUAAAUAUUUGCUAAGUGUUAAAGGUCGAAGGGCGUAUAACACCAGAGACAGAGGGGAGGUAUGCUUAGAAGCAGCAAUCCUUUAAAGAAAGCGUAACAGCUCACCUUUCAAGGUGUUAUGCCCCGAAAAUGGACGGGGCUAAGCAGAUUACCGACACCAUAGACAUACAUAAAUUGUAUUGUAGUAGGCAGGCGCUCUGUUAGGGUAGAACUAUCUUCGUGAGAAGAUAGGGACCUAAUUGAGUUGAGAAUCCUGGUGGCAGUAGGAUCUAAAUGCAGUGAAAAUCUGCAAUACCGUAAGGGCAAGGGUUUCUUAGCAAUGUCAAUCAGCUAAGAGUAAGUUAGUCCUAACCGCGUUCGUAAUUCGAAUUAGCGGGAAAGGGAAAAAGGUUAAUAUUCCUUUACCAUUCAAGUACAUGCGGCGACGCAAGUCAGGUUUCAGACCUGUCGGGCUAGACCGACAUCCAUAGUCGUGGAUGAUAAAUAGGAUAUGUCUAGGGAGUAUCAUCAUGAUGAGAACUAGAGAAAACCUAUGAAUAGCGUAGUUCUGCUACGUUCGGUUGAUGCCUGGCGGCAGUGAAAAUGGAACUUGAAAGGAUCUUGAAUGUCUAUACCCAGAACCAACACUGGUGCCCCUAGCUGAGAAGGCUAAGGUAUGAUGGAUUAAUCGAGUUCAGGGAAAUCGGCAAUUUAGCCCCGUCUCUUCGGUUUAAGGGGUCCCUGGGAUUGUAGUCGUAUGACUGCGAUCUCAGGGUACAAUUACAAGGAGAGCCCAACUGUUUAACAAAAACACAGCAUUCCGCUAGCCUGUAAAGGUGCGUAUGGAAUGCCACGUCUGUCCAGUGCUGGUAUCUCAAACCUCCGUUCAAGGGGGCUAAGGACCAGUAAACGACGGGAAUAACUAUAAUUCUCUUAAGGUGAGUAAAGUUGCCUUAGUAAAAUCUGGCCAUAUGCUGGAACAUCUGAGUAUCCCACAAUACUAAGACCGAAAAUCUUCCGGAAAUUUCUUAGUAAAUUUCUUAAAGACAAAAGUCUUAGUGACAAUUUGAUGGGUGCAGAAAAUCAGCAGGAAAGAUUUCUUGUAGUGCAACAAGAAAAAUCCUCAGAGACUUUACGCCAGACUAAACUUAGAAGAAAAGUUUAGAAGAUAAAGUCCGACCCUCUAAGCGAUUAGAGGAAGUAUGCAGAAAUGUAUACUCGCCGUAUUUAUGGUUAGUACCUUAUCAAGGGAAGUAACAUAAGUGAGCGUAAUACCUUGCCGUUUGAAUGACGGCUUGCAUGAAUGGCGUAAUGAGGUUCUCAGUGUCCCGAACUCGCGUCCUCCGAACACACUCUACUGGUGUGAAGGCCAGUGAUCUCCUGUGGGAAGCGAAGACCCCGUAGAACUUUACUGCAACUUGUUGUUGGAAUGUAAUUCUCAUUGUAGAGCGUAAGUAGGAGUCGUUAAAGCCUGUUCGCCAGGAUAGGUGUAGACAUCAAUGUAACACUACUCUGUGAGGCUUAUGUUCCUAACCUUUCGUAAGAAAGAGACAGCAGCUGGCAGGCAGUUUGGCUGGGGCGGCACCCCGCUGAAAUGAUAUCAGUGGGACCCAAAGGUUGACUCAUCCGGUUUAGAAAUCCGGAGUAGAGUGCAAGAGCAAAAGUCAGCCUGACUGGAUUUCAACCAUUACCAAAUCCAGAGACGAAAGUCCGGUCUAGCGAACCUCUAUGUCCUCCUUGAUGGGGGCUAGGUAUGAUAGAAAAGCUAUCUCGGGGAUAAUUGAGUCGUAGCGCCUAAGAGUUCACAUCGACGGCGCUGCUUGCUACUUCGUUGUCGGCUCAUCGCAUCCUGGCCGUGCACAAGCGGCCAAGGGUACGGGUGUUCACCGGUUAAAGCGGUUCGUGAGCUGGGUUCAGAACGUCGUGAGACAGUUUGUAUGAUAUCUACAGGAGAUGUUCACGUCUGAGAGGAAGGAUGUUGUAGUACGAGAGGAACCAGCGUUCGGUGCCUCUAGUGUAUCGGUUGUCUGACAAGGCAGGCCGAGCAGCCACGCACCAAGUCAUAACUGCUGAAAGCAUCUAAGCAGGAAGGAUACCUCAAAAAGAGACGUGAGACCCUCGCUAGAACACGAGGUUGAUAGGAUCGGGAUGUAAGUACGAAGCUUCGGCGACGUAUUCAGUCUGCGAUUACUAAUCGUCUAACCUUAAUCAGUG